rnacentral:tRNA from 1 species
ACCCUGGUGGCUCAGAUGGUAAAGUAUCUGCCUGCAAUGCAGGAGACCCAGGUUCUAUUCCUGGGUUGGGAA